rnacentral:rRNA from 1 species
UACGGGGGGGGGCAAGCGUUGUUCGGAAUUACUGGGCGUAAAGGGCUCGUAGGUGGCCAACUAAGUCGGACGUGAAAUCCCUCGGCUUAACCGGGGAACUGCGUCUGAUACUGGAUGGCUUGAGUUCGGGAGAGGGAUGCGGAAUUCCAGGUGUAGCGGUGAAAUGCGUAGAUAUCUGGAGGAACACCGGUGGCGAAGGCGGCAUCCUGGACCGACACUGACACUGAGGAGCGAAAGCCAGGGGAGCAAACGGG